GACGAACGCUGGCGGCGUGCCUAAUACAUGCAAGUCGAACGCAGUGGGGACGGGUGAGUAACACGUGGGUAACCUCCCAUCAGAGGGGAUACCACUUGGAAACAGGCUCUAAACCGAUACUGAUGGAUGGACCCGCGGUGCAUGAGCUAGUUGGUGAGGUAACGUCGCACCAAGGCCACGAUGACUAGCCGUGCUGAGAGGAUGAUCGGCCACACUGUGACUGAGACACGGCCCAGACUCCUACGGGAGGCAGCAGUAGGGAAUCUUCGGCAAUGGACGAAAGCCUGACCGAGCCACGCCGCGUGAGUGAAGAAGGUCUUCGGAUUGUAAAGCUCUGUUGUUAGAGAAGCGGUAUCUAACCAGAAAGCCACGGCUAACUACGUGCCAGCCGCCGCGGUAAUAC
rnacentral:rRNA from 1 species